UCCUUCUCUGCAGGGCCCGGAAGCCUAGACCAAAAGCUGGGUAAUGUGAUCCGAGCUACGGUAGCCAUGUGCAGACUCUGAGGACAAACUGUACCCCCAGCUUUGCUUGGACUUCCCUUGCCUUCUGGCUGGUACACACCAGGUCACCGCAACCCAGAGGGGCCCGCAGCCCGCAGCACAGUAUGUACUUCGAUCUCCUCUCCCCUCUCUGCAGGGCCUGCAACACGAGCAUCCCUGACUACGUUCAGAGUGCUGAGGACUACAAGACUCUCCCCGUGGUGGUCCAAGCCGUUGGGAUCAUCUCAGAGGAGAAUUUCUUUUGCAUUUAUAAGCAAAUCUCCUUGGUGAGCCGCAUCAUCCCCUGCGGCUCCCAGUGGGCACUCUGUAUCUACUAUAGGCACCACUAUGCGCCCGAGAAUGGGUGGAGCGAACUCCAGACCAACCGCAAGGUCGUGGGCCUUGUCACCAUUGCGGACUGCCUCUUGGCCAAGGCCUUCGAUAAGCUCCACAUGCAGAGGAGCUGUAUGGCACCACGCUUAAUGACUCUCAGCUCUUUGUCUUUGUGCUGCAUGGGGAGGUAGCCGAGCAGACACGCACCGACGUGGCGUUCAAUCUACAAGGACUGCAGUGUGGUGAAGAGGAUCGAGGGCUUCACUGAGUCACUCUUCAUCUCGCUCAAGUCUAAGUGGCUGGAUGGGGCCCCCGACAACUCUGGGGACAAGAUCCCGCUCCUCUGCAUCCUCUUUGAGAAGGAGGACUUCAUGGGACUGGACACAGACUGAAGGUGCCCUCACCUCCAGUGGCAUCCAUCCAGACACCAGCACUGACACUGGCCGUGCUCAGAUCUGCCUCAGCCCUGAAGACACAACUGACAAAUAGAAGGGGGCCAUGCCCUGUUACAGCAGGUGCUCUCACUUUGUGGGUCCUUAUGUAACUGCGCAUUGUUAUUCAGGAUCGCCCAUUCUACAUUGUUUGAAGCUGCUGCGGUGUCUCCUAGUUAUUUGUUUCUGAUCUGAGAAGCAGGAGCAAGGAAUUCAGGGAGAGAUCCAGGAAGACAUCUGACUCUGUUAAGAGACGACAUUCACAGCGACAAGGGGAGCGAAGACACUUGCAGCAAAGCAAAAUGAAUUCACAACGAUUGCAUCAGAGCUGCAGGUGUGAGAGAGCCUAAGCCUGUCUCAGAGUGCAGGGGACAAGUGGAAAGGAAUGGUAAAAUUUCCACUGACAAUUGAAAUUUUGUUAAAUAGCCUGCUACUCUUAAUUGUAUCACUUCAUUGUAUGUAGGUGUAUUUCUGUGAGCAUUUAUAGGUUCACACAACCCCACCAGCACCUCUUGCCCCCAUCGGGGAUGGGCUUUCUCAAGCACAGUGCACCUCAUGCAUGAUUGGCCACGCUACGGGUCCUGGCCUGGGGCCGGGUUGCUGCAGGGCACUGAGUCCCCGAGGCACGGGCAGUGAGACAAGACAGGAACAUCUCAGCUCAUGACUGAGGGCCUCC